UGUCCUACGGGACGCAGCAGUGGGGAAUAUUGCACAAUGGGGGAAACCCUGAUGCAGCGACGCCGCGUGAGUGAAGAAGUAUCUCGGUACGUAAAGCUCUAUCAGCAGGGAAGAAAAAAAGUCUUUGGCUUUGGACGGUACCUGACUAAGAAGCCCCGGCUAACUACGUGCCAGCAGCCGCGGUAAUACGUAGGGGGCAAGCGUUAUCCGGAUUUACUGGGUGUAAAGGGAGCGUAGACGGCAGCGCAAGUCUGGAGUGAAAUCCCAUGGCUUAACCAUGGAACUGCUUUGGAAACUGUGCAGCU
rnacentral:rRNA from 1 species